rnacentral:rRNA from 1 species
AGCGGCCGCGGUAAUUCCAGCUCCAAUAGCGUAUAUUAGUGUUGUUGCGGUUAAAAAGCUCGUAGUUGAAUUUCGGGAUUGUGGCAUAUCGGUCAUGGCUUUAGGGACAUGAAUUGGUGUGUGGACAAUUCUCACCUUCUGGUGCAUCGGGAUGCUCUUGGGUGUUUCGAUGAACUAGGACUUUUACUUUGAAAAAAUUAGAGUGUUUAAAGCGGGCAUUUUUGCUUGAAUACAUUAGCAUGGAAUAAUAAAAUAGAACGAUGGUUCUAUUUUGUUGGUUUUAGGAUCACGUAAUGAUUAAUAGGGAUAGUUGGG